rnacentral:tRNA from 1 species
GCGGAUGUGGUGAAAUGGUAUACACGCAUGGUUUAGGACCAUGUGCCGUAAAAAGCGUGGAGGUUCAAGUCCUCUCAUCCGCA